UUUAUUUCUCUUAUGGGUAUUUGGGGACUGCAGGGAAAGACAUUUAUAAUAAAAUCUGUAGUUUUUGAGUGCACCAGUAUACUACCAUGUAUAAGUUGUAAAGUUUCAAGAGUUUAGUUUUGUCAGUGUUUGUCUUAAGAUGAGGGAACUCUUAAAAGAGAUGUCACAGGAAGAUGAACAGCAAAAUCAGUUGUUUAUUCUUGUGGCAAAAAUAACAUCCUGCAAUACAAGUUUACCAUUACGUUCUUGCAUUUUAAUUAGGUACUUAGAGUUUUUUCUGCAGAAGAAAGAGAUAGGUAAGGAUAAGUGUUAACAUUGUGCUACAAAGGAUUUGGUAGUAACUUGUGAACUACUGUCCUUAUUGUACUUUAUGUCUUUCUUAACUACAAACUGUGAAGAUCCACAUGAAAACAGCUGACAAAAAUGUUUCAGAACGCUUUCUUCUCCUCCUUCAAGAAUUCAGUAAGCCAGAACUUUGGAUAUAGGAUUCCUUGGCUCUGGAAGAGGAGAAUGCUGUUGUAUUAAUUUUAACAUUAAAGGCGAAGUGCUGUUAAAGUCAUGUUUAUGCUUAUCAGAAUAAGCAAAGAGCAUACCUCAGCUCUUAGAAAUUUUUCCAUCUCCCUCUUUUAUGAUCAGUUACUAGAGCUUAAUUUAUAACCUAUAGCUGUCUUCCAGUUGAGCUAUGAUCCUCAAAAAAGAAUUUGUAAACACUUUUUUUUCAAGAUAGGCCAGGAAACAUUUUUCACUGAUACUUGAGCUAAAACUUCCUUACUGCAUGAGCUUGGAUACAAGGUUUAUUAGCUAGCAGUUGACUGUCUGCAGAUAGCCUUUAUUCCUAUCAUUUUUACUUUUUUAUUUUUUAACGUUUGCAUGUAAAUGUUUGCCUCAUCUUUU